UGGGAGUUCAAAGUAUAUGUGGUGGUGAACAUUAGAGUGUUCUUUAGCUCUAGUGGGUCUUUGUUGAAGCAAUUCAUCUCGUGUUUUCCCCAAUGCCAAAUCAAGAGCUUCAUCCACACAUUGUGAAGAGUAGCCUCUGCUUAGAAACCUAUUUUCUAGAUAGUCCUCUGUGGAGUGGCAUAUACGGCGUAGUCAGAUGUGCGAGUGUUCCUUUUGAAUUUUUCUUCUAGUCAUGAAACGAAUGUGUUAACUAUGCAUGACAACUGACAGGUUUUCACGAGUGACGAUUCGGACCACCCCACGACACUCCGGGAGAAGAGUGCCGUCCCAGAAUGCUCCGUUGACGGAGAACAGUGUGACGAAGAGGAGGAUGGAGCAUCAGCAACUGAAACCGGGCUUCGUAUUGUUCAGGUGUGCUCCAGUGCUCUUCGGAGAACUCCAAGAACCACCAGGAACUCCUGAUCCGGUUCCAGAACCAGAAACUCCAGAACCAGAACUCCAAGAGUCUGAUGGUUGGAUGCGGUGGCAGCAGCAGCAUCAUACCAGUCCACUCAGGCCCUUCACCAAGGCUUCCCUACCACCAACAGUCCCUUCCUCAGAGCCAGGCCUCUCUACCUUAAACAGGAGAAGAGGACUGAGAACCAGGGUGCUGUAAGAGUUCUUCUGCCCUGACGGGCGUUCCGUCGGCAUCCAAAGAGUAUGUUUGUAAUCUAUCCUCUGCGGAUUGUCUGUCGACCAAUGGAGAGACCACUCCAAGUCAAGUGAAUGGAGAGACCAUUCCAAGUUAGAGUCCGAAUCAGGAAGUUCCUCAAGAAGAAGAACCAAUGGCUGUCACUCCCAGUCCCCCCCCUCUAAAACUGAUGCUUCUGAACCAAAACACCCAGCAUGCUCAUCAGAUUCCAGUCCCGGGAGAGGACUAUGUUUCCCAGAACUGCUGUCUCGACGACGUGAAACCCAGCCAUCUCAAUCUCCUCCACGUUGGGAAGAGCUACACCUGACAAAAUGGCCCUCACCCUUAAAAUUGCCGGAACCCUCACCACCAUCUUCUCCGGCGAAACCCUUCAUUAAAUCCGGCAUCCUGCUACUCCAUUCCAUAGAAUCCCUCAGCUGUCAAAGCUACCAACUUGGCUCAGCUGCACUCCGAGAAGACAACAGUUUCCACUGAGCUCCAUGAUUCACUUGCCACGUUCCCCAGGAAAUCUGUGCGAAUCUAAGAAAUUCAUAAUGCUGCCAUGGAAAUCCAACAACAACUACAAGCAGAUGACUGAUGGUCAAAGACAGAGCUAGCAUUAGCAACAACGCAAGACUGGCCGGCAAAGAGGACGAGAAGGAGAGGAAGAGGAAGAGCAUCGCGACCACCAGUACAGGGUAAAAGCAAAGAGAAGAGAGGGAGAUGAAAUCUGGAAGCCCCACAGUAACAGGAAGAGAAAAGACGGUUUGGAACCGGCCAAGGAUAGAGAAACCGAAAGCAAAGACCGAGAGAAGAGAGGGGGAUGAAACCUGGAAUCCCCUCAGGAACAUAAUCUUGGUGAGAAGAACAGAGGGUUUGAAAGCGGAGCAGGAACAAUCAGAGGACAGUGAGACCCCGGAGCUUACUCAGAAAAAGAGUAAACGCAACGUCUCUACAAAGAUAGAAGUCGGGGAAGAAGAUGGAAGUCCUUUAGUGAAGACUGAAAGGGUGAAACUCAACGACGGAACAAAGACAGAGAACGGACAAGUGAAAAAUAAGUCUCUGCUCUGUCACUCUGGCAACCAACAAUGUCUUAGCAAGCAAAAGAUUAGGAUGUUACCUUUCCAACACCUCCACCACCUCCACAAAGUCUUUGGAACAGAGGGAACAAAGAACAGAAGGAAUAAAGAGGCUGAGAAGGGGAACAGGGAACCCAGUAAGGGUGCUUCGAGCACCCCCCUAACAUUUGGACUGCAACCAAGAGCUGCUCAAGAGUAAAAUUUCACCAAGAAGACAAGCAGUCGAACAUGUCUUCUGAAACUCCCAGUCCUUCCUUCUCCAGGUUUCAAGCUCUGGCCAGUGCAGUUGGACUGCUCCAAAUCCCACCAACACCACGCCCAAAACAGAUUUCGUGGUGGACCCCGAAAGAUACAACUAGGUUUCCCAGGCUGGUGGCUCAGUUCCCUCCAGUGCCAUGACACCGGGCAUCCAUGACAGGGAAUCUGUUGACCUCAAAAAAGAAAAAGGAGGAGAAAUGUAUGGAAAGUAAAAAGGAGGAGGAGAACCGCAGGGAAAAGAAAAGAGAGGAGAACCACAGGGAAAGGAGAAAGGAAUAUGAGAACCGCAGGGAAAGGAAAAAGGAAGAUGAGAAUGACAGGGAAAGGAAAAAGAAAGAGGAGAACAGUAGAGAAAGGAGAAAGAAAGAGGAGAACUGCCUAGGAAAGGAGAAAGGAAGAGGAGAACCGCCUGGGAAAGGAGAAAGGAAUAGGAGAACCGCCUGGGAAAGGAGAAAGGAAGAGGAGAACCGCCUGGGAAAGGAGAAAGGAAGAGGAGAACCGCCUGGGAAAGGAGAAAGGAGGAGGAGAACUGCAGGGAAAAGAAAAAGGAAGAGGAGAACUGAAGGGAAAGGAAAAAGGAAGAGGAGAACUGCAGGGAAAGGAAAAAGGAAGAGAAGAACCUCUGGGAAAGGAGAAAGGAAAAGGAGAACCUCUGGGAAAGGAGAAGGAAAAUGAGAACCUCUGGGAAAGGAAAAAGAAGGAGAACCUCUGAGAAAGGGAAAAGGAGGAGAACCUCUGGGAAAGGAAAAAGGAGGAUAACCGCAGGGAAAGGAAAAAGGAGGAGGAGAACCACAGGGAAAGUGAAAAGGAAGAGGAGAACUACAGGGAAAGGAAAAAGGAGGAGAACCUCUGGGAAAGGAUGACAAGUGAAAGAAGUACAGGAAAAGGGUCAGGCUCAGGGAGGGACAUGGCGAAGGAGAGAGAGCAGAAUUGUUCCAGAGACUACUCAUCCUGUAUAAAUCUAAAACAUUUACUCAGAAGCCUAGCUCGCUAACAACUUCCCCCAGCAAGUUCCUUCCAACUGUUCAGGGAUUGGAACCGGAACCAUUCUGGAACCCCAGCUGUCUGGUCAGCCACAGAACUCCAGUCCAGAAAGAUCUGCAGAGACUGAAUCAGACAGAGACCAAGUGAGCCCCCAUGCUGUCAAGCUGACCCCCUCCAACAUUCUGGCACCCACUGCGUCUCUCAAAAAGUUCCAAGAGCUCCUGAAGCACAGGCACCAAAAGACGAGAAAGUCUGCCAAGAGCAAGGAGUUGGAAGAAACCGAAAGUGAAACUAAAGGAGAGAAACAAAGUGAAGGAAAGUUUUUGAAACCCAAUGAAAGUGACAGCGGUCAAAAUGAACCAAGACUGGAAUAAAAACAAAAGUUCUUCCCAGUCUCUAGAAAGAGAGUCAGCCAUUAGACCAACCUUUGAAACUUAUGAUCAGACAAACCAAACAGAGAGCAACCAUCCAGAGGAAAAAGACGGAGGACACAACAGAAGCACUUGUGGACAGGAGACGGAGCAUCAAGAGACUGAAAGAGAAAACGUUGAGGACAGAGAACAUUUUGAGAACACAGAAAACGUUGAAGAUGGAGAAAACGUGAAUGUGUCAGGAGACUUUUUCGAACUCCGUGAGGAGCUGGCUACCUUAGCAAUGUUAUCCAUGACAAGGACAAAGAAAAUGGUGGAUCCUCAACGGACCGACAAAGGCAACAAGAAAGGAAGAUAUCUGGUUACCAAGGACAACAGAGAGAGGGAAACAGACUUGUCUACAGAGACAAACAAGAAGACCGAAGAAGGAAAAGGAUACAUGGUGAAGACAUAUAGGAGAAGUGUGAUCGUCUGAGAGGUGAAGGAGAAAAUGGAGGAUGGGUAUUUGGAGAUGGAGAUCUCCAGCAAGAGUUUGAUGUGGUUGAUGAGGUCCACCAGACGUUUGGCUACGCCGUGACUGAGGAAGAGGAGGAGAUGGAUCUAGAGGAGAUGCAUCCAAAGAUGUAUCCUGAUGCAGAUGGCCGACAUGAGUCUCCCAACCCCUCAGGAGGCAGAGCCUUCCACGAUCACAUCAUCACGAAGGGUUCACCACAGGAGUAACAGGAAGCUGGGAGCCAGAGGAGGAAGUGGAGGUGGACGUUCUUGAGUGGUCACCGGACAUG
rnacentral:lncRNA from 1 species